CCUACGGGAGGCAGCAGUCGAGAAUCAUUCACAAUGGGGGCAACCCUGAUGCUGCGACGCCGCGUGGGGGAAUGAAGCCCUUCGGAUUGUAAACUCCUGUCAUGUGGGAGCAAAUUAAAAAGAUAGUACCACAAGAGGAAGAGACGGCUAACUCUGUGCCAGCAGCCGCGGUAAUACAGAGGUCUCAAGCGUUGUUCGGAAUCACUGGGCGUAAGGCGUGCGUAGGCUGUUUCGUAAGUCGUGUGUGAAAGUCGCGGGCUCAACCGGAGAACUGCACAUGAUACUGGGAGACUAGAGUAAUGGAGGGGUAGCCGGAAUUCUUGGUGUAGCAGUGAAAUGCGUAGAUAUCGAGAGGAACACUCAUGGCGAAGGCGGGUUCCUGGACAGUAACUGACGCUGAGGCACGAAGGCGAGGGGAGCGAAAGGGAUUAGAUACCCCUGUAGUC
rnacentral:rRNA from 1 species